UACGUAGGGUGCGAGCGUUGUCCGGAAUUACUGGGCGUAAAGAGCUCGUAGGUGGUUUGUCGCGUUGUUCGUGAAAACCGGGGGCCUAACCCUCGGCGUGCGGGCGAUACGGGCAGACUUGAGUACUGCAGGGGAGACUGGAAUUCCUGGUGUAGCGGUGGAAUGCGCAGAUAUCAGGAGGAACACCGGUGGCGAAGGCGGGUCUCUGGGCAGUAACUGACGCUGAGGAGCGAAAGCGUGGGGAGCAAACAGG
rnacentral:rRNA from 1 species